AUUGAACGCUGGCGGCAGGCCUAACACAUGCAAGUCGAACGAGUGGCGGACGGGUGAGUAAUGUCUGGGAAACUGCCCGAUGGAGGGGGAUAACUACUGGAAACGGUAGCUAAUACCGCAUACCAUCAGAUGUGCCCAGAUGGGAUUAGCUUGUGGGUGGGGUAACGGCGCACCAAGGCGACGAUCCCUAACUGGUCUGAGAGGAAGACCAGCCACACUGGAACUGAGAACCGGGCCAGACUCCUACGGUAGUCAGCAGUGGGGAAUAUUGCACAAUGGGCGCAAGCCUGAUGCAGCCAGGCCGCGUGUAUGAAGAAGGCCUUCGGGUUGUAAAGUACUUUCAGCGGGGAGGCGUUACCCGCAGAAGAAGCACCGGCUAACUCCGUGCCAGCAGCCGCGGUAAUAC
rnacentral:rRNA from 1 species